AGUGAACGCUGGCGGUAGGCCUAACACAUGCAAGUCGAACGGCAGCACAGUAAGAGCUUGCUCUUACGGGUGGCGAGUGGCGGACGGGUGAGGAAUACAUCGGAAUCUACUUUUUCGUGGGGGAUAACGUAGGGAAACUUACGCUAAUACCGCAUACGACCUACGGGUGAAAGCAGGGGAUCUUCGGACCUUGCGCGAUUGAAUGAGCCGAUGUCGGAUUAGCUAGUUGGCGGGGUAAAGGCCCACCAAGGCGACGAUCCGUAGCUGGUCUGAGAGGAUGAUCAGCCACACUGGAACUGAGACACGGUCCAGACUCCUACGGGGGGCAGCAGUGGGGAAUAUUGGACAAUGGGCGCAAGCCUGAUCCAGCCAUACCGCGUGGGUGAAGAAGGCCUUCGGGUUGUAAAGCCCUUUUGUUGGGAAAGAAAAGCAGCAGGUUAAUACCCCGCUGUUCUGACGGUACCCAAAGAAUAAGCAACGGCUAACUUCGUG
rnacentral:rRNA from 1 species